rnacentral:lncRNA from 1 species
AUGUGUGUGUAUAGCAUUACAAUGGCAAUUUAUCUUCAAGCAGAUGCUAGCUGUCUUCUUGGUGUCAUGGUCGUCAUCAUCGUCAUCUUCACUGUCCUGCUCACUUGUAUCGUCAUGACUGUCCUUCUUACUGGAUUUACCAUGGCUGUCUUCCUCACUUGUAUCAUCAUGUCUGUCUUCCUCACUUGUAUCAUCAUGGCUGUCUUCCUCACUUGUAUCGUCAUGGCUGUGCUUCUUCCUAGAUUUGCCAUGGCUGUCUUCUUCACUUGUAUUGUCAUGGCUGUCCUGCUCACUUGUAUCAUCAUGGCUGUCUUCUUCACUCGUAUCAUCAUGAUUGUCAUCAUCGCACCAGUCUUCAUAGUAAAACUUGGAGCCAUCAAUCCACAUCCAAAAACCAGGCUAUAG